rnacentral:rRNA from 1 species
GAAGACGCUGUGACGCUGGCGGCGUGCUUAACACAUGCAAGUCGAACGAUGAUCCCAGCUUGCUGGGGGAUUAGUGGCGAACGGGUGAGUAACACGUGAGUAACCUGCCCUUGACUCUGGGAUAAGCCUGGGAAACCGGGUCUAAUACUGGAUAUGACCUUCUGGCGCAUGCCAUGUUGGUGGAAAGCUUUAUUGCGGUUUUGGAUGGACUCGCGGCCUAUCAGCUUGUUGGUGGGGUAAUGGCCUACCAAGGCGACGACGGGUAGCCGGCCUGAGAGGGUGGACGGCCACACUGGGACUGAGACACGGCCCAGACUCCUACGGGAGGCAGCAGUGGGGAAUAUUGCACAAUGGGCGCAAGCCUGAUGCAGCGACGCCGCGUGGGGGAUGAAGGCCUUCGGGUUGUAAACCUCUUUCAGUAGGGAAGAAGCGAAAGUGACGGUACCUGCAGAAGAAGCGCCGGCUAACUACGUGCCAGCAGCCGCGGUAAUACGUAGGGCGCAAGCGUUAUCCGGAAUUAUUGGGCGUAAAGAGCUCGUAGGCGGUUUGUCGCGUCUGCCGUGAAAGUCCGGGGCUUAACUCCGGAUCUGCGGUGGGUAGGCUUAACUCCGGAUCUGCGGUGGGUA